GAUGAACGCUAGCUACAGGCUUAACACAUGCAAGUCGAGGGGUAACGAGAGGAAAGCUUGCUUUCCUUGUCGACGACCGGCGCACGGGUGAGUAACGCGUAUCCAACCUGCCCCCAACUAGGGAAUAACCUUGCGAAAGUAAGACUAAUACCCUAUAAUUUCCUCAGAUGUCAUCUGACGAGGAAUAAAGAUUUAUCUGUUGUGGAUGGGGCUGCGUACUGAUUAGCUUGUUGGCGGGGUAACGGCCCACCAAGGCAACGAUCAGUAGGGGUUUUGAGAGGAAGGUCCCCCACAUUGGAACUGGGACACGGUCCAAAAGCCUACGGGAGGCAGCAGUGAGGAAUAUUGGUAAAUGUGAGGAAGCCUGAACCAGCCAAGUAGCGUGCAGGAUGACGGCCCUAUGGGUUGUAAACUGCUUUUAUACAGGAAUAAAGUUAGCCACGUGUGGUUAUUUGUAGGUACUGUAUGAAUAAGGACCGGCUAAUUCCGUGCCAGCCGCCGCAGUAA
rnacentral:rRNA from 1 species